ACUGCACUCCAAUCCUCUCUUUGGAACCUGCAACUGAAUAUUGCUCCUAAAUGGGAAGACUGUCUUGCAAGGGGACAACUGCCACAAUAUUGCCAAAAUGCAGACAACUGAAUUAGGGGAUUUAUUCUACCCAGGCUAUACUCAGCUACAAAUGAUAGGAGAACCCACCUAGAAUGGAGCAGAUGCAAGGCACACAGGUGAUGAUUUUAGUUCAUUGCAAGGUGGGUGUUCUGUCAGAUGUGCUCUGGACAAUA
rnacentral:lncRNA from 1 species